UUUCCAUGCACCACACAAGGCUGACCUUCAGACCCAGGACAGAGCACCGUCCACUCCACAUAUCUGCUGGCAUCCUCAACGAGGCAGGAAAUUGAAAGAAGGAGACAGAAUCAGCCACACAGCUGACGGAGGAUGAGCUGCCGACCAUAAUUACCCCAAGUGCUAUUCAAAUGGCACCACCUCAUUUUAUGGACAGUUAAGAAUACCCAUGCUCUCUAAUGUGCUCUCGCAGCUCCAGCGAUGUUCCUAUCCACUGGUCAUAUUCAGACACACUGCUGUAGCUCACACACAAUAGCUGCUUAAUAGCCAGCUAUUUAAAGACGCUACAUCAGUACCUACAUGCUGCUGCUGAGCUUUAUAGCCCAUGGUGUAGUCAGUGAAUGUUCCAACUGUUCUUAAAGUGUAGUGAAGUAUAAUAUCAGAUGACAUGGUUAAGCUAUGUUUGAGUCAUGUUAUAUAAAUGCAGUGGACAAUACUUUCCACUUGAAUCGUAAGAUUUCUGAUUUGAAAGACAACAUAUUCUAAUUCUAACUAUUCUAAUUAUCCAUUGACUCCCCCUGCUCUGUCAUUCGUUUCUAUCUGCAGGAUGGCAUGGCAUCGUUUUCCAUGGAUGGUGUGUUUGGUUAGAUAUUAGUUAUUUGAGUCGCUUUUACUGUGAGUUCUCCCUCAUGCCUCUUGGCCAUGGAAUCUGUUUUCUCCCCUCUGCUCUCUGCUGGACUGGUACAGUGCGUAACCAUCGUCUCCUCUUCUCACAAAUACAGAUCACCUUUCUGUCCCAAAAGAAGUCAACUGACUGCCCCCCCCCAUCGCCUGUCCUGGGACCUCUCUCUCUCCCCUGGCUAUCCCUGGUGCCUCAUUUCAGAUGUUUGGAUCCAGAUCUUUAUCCUCCUGGAGAUUCAGCCUCUCUCACUCUCUCUCGCGUUGUCCUCUUCUCUCUCUUAGGUUUGCUACGUCCUUCAACCUUACAGUAGAAUCCACAAUUAUACAUAAGAUACUCAGUGACAGAUUAGUGUGUUCAAAACUCCUGAAAACUAAAUGUCAGUGACCCAAAUGUUGAUGACCAGAUUGUCUUUGGCCCAUCUGCCUGUUGCAGACCAAUGUCUCUGCAGUGUUGUGGAGGAAAGAAAACAGGUUUGGAUGAGCGAUUCAAGCCCUGCACAGUUACUCAAGGUCAGUGUGGAGGCUCAAAAAAGACAGAUUUCUACCCAAGUGUGAUAAGCCUUGGGGCAGGCACACACAUAUUUCAGAUGUUCUCUGAUGAUAAUCGUCGACACUAUACGGUGGCCUGGGGGAAGUGAUUAAAGCACUUUGUCUUCAGUCAUACCCACCUCGUCCAAUCCUCGUUUCUGAUCCCUAUCUGAACCUUGCUGCUGCCUAGACAAUGCAGAGCACAUCUCUCUGUCUCCCUCUAUCUAUAAGUCUCUCUCCACUGCAGUGUUUAUUUAAAACACUGAAGACAAAUCAAAUGCCUUAGAAAAACAUUUAAAAGUUUGGAAUUUGCCACGGUCAUUGUGUUUCCUGUGCAAAGGAGGGGCGGGGGCUCGGCCUUUUAGUUUAGUUAAAUCUACAUGAGAUGAAUAAGAUAUUCAGAUACUGUAACUAUAAUGUUUUCCAUGGUUUGUAUAAUGUGUCAACUGCAUUGUUGUAUUUUCUUAACUGACUGUCCUUCCAAGAAAAACAACAGCAUCAAUUGUUUGUUCAGAUGACUGACAAGGACCUCCAGCGGCUAAAUGAUUAAUGAUUUUAGUCCUGUCAAGAGCAGGCACGGGAGAAGCAUGAUGACAUAUGUUUCCUAACUCAUCAGGAGAUCCUUUUGUUUGAAAUCCUUUUGUUAACAAAUAAUAAAUGUACUUCUUUGCAAACAACAACAAACUAAUUAUUAAUAUUAGCCUAAAACAGUAAAAACUAAAUUUGCAAGUGAUCGGAGGCAGACAUAAAGCCAAUGACACACUCUUGUGAGCUAAUGGCAUAAAACACAUGGUUGGUUCAACUGCUAGAGCAAACUACCCAAACACUCAUGUGUGAUGUAAAACAAGUAAGAUGGCUUUGGAAAUGUGAAAGAUUGGCCUGCUGUAGCAGCCUCCCGGCAGUAGGUGGCAGUGUGAGACUGUGGUUUACCCUCAGGGACCAUGACCAAGAGAGCAUGCUCCGCUGUUUUCCCUCAAUAACUGCGGAGAUUUCAGCGAGGAAACACCACAUCUCUCUCUGUCUCACCCUUUUUCCUGUAUUUCAGGUUAGUAAUGUGUUCACAUAAAUUGCUGUAGGUUGUUAGUGAAUGCUGAGAGAUAAGUUGAGUUAACGUAUAAGAGUAAAAUGAGCAGGUUUUGGAGAUACGGUUUCACAUGAGGCCCGCCGAGAGUAACGAUAGCGGCGCGGUUUGCUCUGUUAAUAGCAUGUUAGCGUAAGAUGCUAGUGUGGGCCACACGUCUCCACUGUUUUAGGUUAGAAUAAUAUACUGGAUGGCUCCAUAAACAAUAUUUAGCAUGUUGGAAUAUUUUGGAAAUGGUGUUUGUAUUUAUAUGUUUUAGUGAUGAAUACUGUUAUACUGUCAGCGAGUCAAGAGUCAUAUUUCAUGGCGUCAGAGUAUCCGGUGUAUUUUGCACUGCAGUAAUAGCCAAAAGUAUUUGGACAGACGAAUAUGGAAAUGGUUGUGAAAUGUGUAUAAUUUUGUGUUUGGAGUUUUAUUGAAUGUUAUGUUAAGAACAUGAACAAUGUGUCCAAGAAGACGAGGCAUGUACGGUACUGAGAAAUACUGAGAAAUUCAAACAAAGACUAUUCUGAUGGUAUAAAGGA